rnacentral:rRNA from 1 species
AACGAACGCUGGCGGCAUGCCUAACACAUGCAAGUCGAACGAGACCUUCGGGUCUAGUGGCGCACGGGUGCGUAACGCGUGGGAACCUGCCCUUAGGUUCGGAAUAACUCCCCGAAAGGGGUGCUAAUACCGGAUAAUGUCUUCGGACCAAAGAUUUAUCGCCUUUGGAUGGGCCCGCGUUGGAUUAGCUAGUUGGUAGGGUAAAAGCCUACCAAGGCGACGAUCCAUAGCUGGUCUGAGAGGAUGAUCAGCCACACUGGGACUGAGACACGGCCCAGACUCCUACGGGAGGCAGCAGUGGGGAAUAUUGGACAAGGGGCGAAAGCCUGAGCCAGCAAUGCGGCGUGAGUGAUGAAGGCCUUAGGGUUGUAAAGCUCUUUUACCCGGGAUGAUAAUGACAGUACCGGGAGAAUAAGCUCCGGCUAACUCCG